rnacentral:rRNA from 1 species
GACGAAGGAUGCAAGCGUUAUCCGGAUUCAUUGGGUUUAAAGGGAGCGUAGGCGGCCCUAUAAGUCAGUGGUGAAAUCUCUCGGCUUAACCGAGAAAUUGCCAUUGAUACUGUAGGGCUUGAGUACAGUUGCCGUUGGCGGAAUAUGACAUGUAGUGGUGAAAUACAUAGAGAUGUCAUAGAACACCGAUUGCGAAGGCAGCUAACGAAGCUGUAACUGACGCUGAGGCUCGAAAGUGCGGGGAGUCAAACAGG